CAUGCAAGUCGAACGCUGAAACCUGGUGCUUGCACCGGGUGGAUGAGUGGCGAACGGGUGAGUAACACGUGAGUAACCUGCCCCCGACUUCGGGAUAAGCCCGGGAAACUGGGUCUAAUACCGGAUAUGACCAGCGCUCGCAUGAGUGUUGGUGGAAAGUUUUUUAGGUUGGGGAUGGGCUCGCGGCCUAUCAGUUUGUUGGUGAGGUAAUGGCUCACCAAGACGACGACGGGUAGCCGGCCUGAGAGGGCGACCGGCCACACUGGGACUGAGACACGGCCCAGACUCCUACGGGAGGCAGCAGUGGGGAAUAUUGCACAAUGGGGGAAACCCUGAUGCAGCGACGCAGCGUGCGGGAUGACGGCCUUCGGGUUGUAAACCGCUUUCAGCAGGGAAGAAGCCCCUUGGGGUGACGGUACCUGCAGAAGAAGUACCGGCUAACUACGUGCCAGCAGCCGCGGUAAUACGUAGGGGUACAGGCGUUGUCCGGAAUUAUUGGGGCGUAAAGAGCUCGUAGUGGUUGGGUCACGCCUGCUGUGGAAACGCAAC
rnacentral:rRNA from 1 species